rnacentral:rRNA from 1 species
ACGGGAGGCAGCAGUGGGGAAUAUUGCACAAUGGGCGCAAGCCUGAUGCAGCGACGCCGCGUGAGCGAAGAAGUAUUUCGGUAUGUAAAGCUCUAUCAGCAGGGAAGAAAAUGACGGUACCUGACUAAGAAGCUCCGGCUAAAUACGUGCCAGCAGCCGCGGUAAUACGUAUGGUGCAAGCGUUAUCCGGAUUUACUGGGUGUAAAGGGUGCGUAGGUGGCAUGGCAAGUCAGAAGUGAAAGCUCGGGGCUCAACCCCGGAACUGCUUUUGAAACUGUCAAGCUAGAGUACAGGAGAGGAAAGCGGAAUUCCUAGUGUAGCGGUGAAAUGCGUAGAUAUUAGGAGGAACACCAGUGGCGAAGGCGGCUUUCUGGACUGAAACUGACACUGAGGCACGAAAGCGUGGGGAGCAAACAGGAUUAGAUACCCUGGUA